rnacentral:rRNA from 1 species
UACGUAGGGGCCUAGCGUUGUCCGGAAUUAUUGGGCGUAAAGAGCUCGUAGGCGGUGUGUCGCGUCGGCCGUGAAAACCUGCAGCUUAACUGUGGGCGUGCGGUCGAUACGGGCAUCACUGGAGUUCGGCAGGGGAGACUGGAAUUCCUGGUGUAGCGGUGAAAUGCGCAGAUAUCAGGAGGAACACCGGUGGCGAAGGCGGCUACCUGGACAGAAACUGACGCUGAGGCGCGAAAGCUAGGGGAGCAAACAGG